AUUCUCCAUAACCAUCGGAAAGGAAGAGGCCCAGGCAGCGCUCCACAUCCUGACCCUAGCUUUUAACACCAUCGUUUUGGGGAGAGGAGAGGAGGAACGCACCCACAGUGAGGUCUCCACCCAACACUUCUCCGACCCCAGCUUCAGCCUGGCGCACCUUCCUUCCCAAACCCGCCUCUCCCGCCUCGGAGACCCCCUCCUCCUCCCUGCCACCAAAGGCCACGCAGCCCCCAUCUAGCCAGUCCUCACGGACCCUGGACCAAGACGCGCCUCCUGGAGGCCGAGACUGCCCGAAACCCGGCCCCUGCGUCCACCGGGAGCGCCACACUCUGGCAGCUGACCGGCGGCUGUCGCCGGGGGUAAGGUUACCGCUCCGCUUCCGCGGCUGGCCUGCGACCCGGCCACCUGCAGGGCCUGGCAGGCGCCCGAACUCAUCCCCUUCCCGCGGCCCGCCCCGGGCCGGGCCCUGCCGCCCCCCGCGACCCCUCGCGACCCGCGGCGAGUCCCACGGUCCCCACCGCCCCCCGCUGGCCGGCCCCCGCCCCGUUUCCCGGGCGUCCCGCGGCGUCAGCACCGCCCCCGCUGCCGCUCACCCGGGCCGGGACAGUCUUGCGUCGGAGAGACAGUGCAGCGCGAGAGGGCCGGGAGAGGACGCCGGAGGGAAAGGAAGGGGGAGCGCGCCCAGCACCGCUUGGGCCUCCUCCACCCGCUCAGGAGGGGAAACACGAGAGCCGGGAGCACAACAGCCUCGCACGCCCGCCGCCGCCGCGCGCCCGCCGCCGCCUCAGCCUUAGGGGAGACCACUACGCCUCGUGCCCGCGCACGCCGCGCCGCUCUCCUCGGCGCCCCCGCCCCGCCUGCUCCUCGCAGCCCCGCCCAUGUGCCUUUCUGCGGCUGCCUCCUUCUGGCCCCCACCCCGCUCGCACGCCUGCGCCCUGGCUGGUCGCGCGGGCCAAUGGCAGCGCGCCCCUAUUACAUAAGCGCGAGGGGGCGGGCCCUGGCUGACACAAACUUCAGGGGACGUCGCCUUCUGUCCCCAGGCGCCCCUCCUCUCCGGCGCGCUCGGUCCGGGCGGCUUCUUCACCCAGCCCUGGGAGCCACGUGAUCCCGGUCCUGGUUGGUGACCGGGCCGCGGCGUGUUUCACAAGUCGCUCGCUCGCUCAUCCACUCGGGCGGCGGCCGGGCCUCAGGCGCUGCGACCCUUUUCCCGCUCCUCCCAGGCUGACGCGCCCGUCUCGGCGCCGCCCUCCUCGGCACCGACUGAGGCGCUGGCCCGGGAGCGGAUCGCGGGGCCGCGGUGGCUGAGUCACAUUCCCGGAGCCCCGCCACCCAGGACACCGCGGCCCCGGCCCCCAGCGAGCCCGGCGGACCCAGCGGCUCUGAACGCGGACGCACAGCCUUUGUUCUUUCACAGCCGCCCUUUACCUCACUCCCAUGGAAACCCCAGGUGUUUUCCCAAGCUGGGGGCUUUUAGUGAGUUCAAGAUUCAAGCCUAAGUCGUAUUAAAAAUUGCUGGCUAGGCCGGGCGCGGUGGCUCACGCCUGUAAUCUCAGCGCUUUGGGAGCCCAAGGCAGGAGGAUCACUUGAGCCCAGGAGUUCCAGACCAGCCUGAGUACAUAGCGAGACCCACGUCUCCACAAAAAUAAAAUAAAAUAAAAUAAAUAGUGGAGCAUGGUGGCCCGCGCCUGUAGUCCCAGCUACUCGGGAGGCUGAGGUGGGAGAAUCGCUUGAGGCCGGGAGGUGAAGGUUGCGGUAAGCCGAGAUCGCGCCAUUGCACUCCAUCCUGGGCGACUGAGUGAGACCCUGCCUAAAAAAAAAAAAAAACAAAAAAAGAAAAAAAAAUUGCUGGCCAGGCUUCCCGGAGGGGUUUAGUUUGACUGCUAACAAUAUACGGUACUGAGUUGCUAAUCCUUCGGGGAAUGGUUAAAGUUCUUUGCGCGCGCUCUCUCUCCAUUUACAGGCAGUGGCAGCAAACUUUCAAUAUCUGACAAGAGCAAUGGCGAUUAUAACCAUGAUUAAAAUUGCUGAAUAUCUGGAAACAGUACUUUAGACAUCAGCUUUAUUGUGCAUACUUACCCCCGACCCCCGCCACAUUCGUUUCUAAUUAGAACUACUAGUGACAAAGGAGAAAAAAAAAAAGUGUUUGCAUUGGCUGUUCUCACCUUGCCUGUAGUGCCGUUUCCCAAGUUUGCGUGGCAGUGCCCAGGAAAUGUUGGCUGAAUAUUAGUAUAUCCCAAAUGACUUGGACUGGGCUAUAGAUACCACAGAAUUGUUUAAACUAGCCAGGAAGGAGUUAGCUGCCUAUUGCAUUUGAGUGGAGAAAAAUACGAAAUGAAACAUGGCAUGCAGUGAUCCGGGUGUUCAGUUCUCCCUCUUCAUCCUCAUUUCAGCUUCUCUCACCUUCACUUUUUAUGCUCUGACUUCCUUCUUGCAGUUUUAAAUUACUCUCUAGUCCUAGAUUGUAAGAUUAUUUUCAUCAGGGAAUACGCAGUAUGUUAAACAUAGUAGACGUUGAAUAAAUGGAUAUUGAUCAAAUGAACCGAGUAUGUCUGAAGAAAGCAGCUUUUAAAUUGACAUAGCAUGAAGCUCUAGCUUAGUCACUAAUAGUCACUGUAACCUUAAUGGUUGUGUUAAUCUGGCUGAUAGAGGGAUGGGUACUUGUUGGCCCUAGAAAUGGGAACUUCAAAGAUCUGUGUUUAUCUAGCCGUGAAUGACAGUAGACAGUGGAAAGGGACAGUGAAAUUUGUGUGGCAGAGAUAUGUCUUCUUAACUAAAGAGGUGACUCCUAUUGUGAAGUAGGUUAAUAUGUCACUCUUUACCAUGGCCUAGAUGAAAUAUGUAUUCAAGCUAGUGUUUCUUAAGUUUUUGAGUCAUAACUCCUUUGAGAAUUUGGUGAAAGCUAUUGACUUUGCCCCCAGAAAGUUCAUGUACUUAUCAUGUAACUUAUCCUCAUAGGUAGUGUUUCUUAAUCUCAGCACCGUUGAAAUUUGGGCUGGAUGAUUCUUUAUUAUGGGGCUCUGUGAGACCUGGGGAUUGUAGGAUGUUUAGCAACAUCCCUGUCUCCUACCUGCUUAUCCAAGUAGCACCUCAUCUCCAGUUGUGACAACUAAAAAUGUCUCCAGACAUUGUGAAAUGUUCUCAGGGGGUCAAAGUCUCCCCUGAUUCAGAACCACUGCCUAGAGGAUAUGGCAUAAUGGUAACUUUAUGUGAUGGUUAGGGAAUUUGAAAAAAAAAAAAAAAAAAAGAAACAAGGAAUGGAUAAGAUUCAACAUCUGUGAAGUGACACUCAGUAAAUGAAAGGCGGAUGAAUUAGCAUUACUACCAGCUGGUGUCCUACUUAUGUUAUAGAAAUGUGACAGCAAAUGUGAUAUGAACUCCUUAGAAGCAUUUUUAUACACAUUGCUGGCUUUAAUUGUGAAUGCUACAGUAACUCUCCUGACUGUUUUUCUUCUUCUGCCUUUAGACAAUUACCCAAGGUUAAGAUGCAAUAAACAUGUGCCUAUUUUCUAUCCAAAAUCUCAAUCAGAUUAAAAUGCUUCUCUAAAGACCUGAAAGGCUUAUUUGUUUAUUUGUAUUCAUGUAGGAUUUGGGGGGAUGAAAGAAUUGGUGAUUAAUCAACAUAUUAUUUUCCCAAUAAACAGACUAUUCUGACAAAUGUUUAGUGGCAAAUAAUAGCAACAGCAAUAAUGGCAACAAUAAACUUAGAACAGAAAUGGAUUUAUUUUUAUUUAUUUAUUUUUUACCAGCUCUUUCUCUUUCACUCGCUUCUGCAUGUUGAGAUUUCUCACACAUGCAACCUAGAUCUUCUUGUCUUCUUUAUAUUCUUUCUCCAAAGGAAUCUCAUUCACUGUUGUGCCUUUAAAUAGCAAGCUUCAGGUGACCCCCACAUUUCUAUCUCCAAAUUGACAUAUCCAAAUGCCUACUACUCAUCUCCCCUCUGAUGUCUUAUAGACAUUCACAUUUAAUAGCAUAUUGUAUUGAGUCUAAGGAGCCAUUAAUUGUAAGUCACAUUUAUGUCCACUAAGAUUAAAAAAUACUGCCAACUGAACUAUGACAAAAUGCUGAUAUCCUUGAUUCUAAGAUACAUCUUGAUUUCAGAGACUUUAAAAAUAGGCUUAAAAAAUAAUGUGAUUUACUAGAAUAGCACCAAAAAGAAUAAAAUACUUAGGAAUUAACUUACCAAGAGAAGUGCAAAACUUGUAUUCUAAACUCUAAAUAACAUUGUUGAAAGAAAUUAAAGACCUAAAUAAAUGGAAAGGUAUCUUAUGUUCAUGGAUCAGAACACUUUGUAAAGAUGGCAGUAAUUCCCAAGUUGAUCCACAGAUUCGGUGCAACCCCUAUCAAAAUCCUGUCUGGUAUCUUUACAUAAGCUUAUUCUAAAAUUUAUAUGGAAAUUCAAGGAGCCCAGAAUAGCCAAAACAACCUUGAAAAAAGAAUAAAAUUGGAAGAUUCACAUUUCCCAAUUUAAAAACUUAUUACAAAGCUAUAGUAAUUAAAACAGUGUGGUACUGGAAUAAGAUUAGACAUAUAAAUCAAUGAGGUAGGAUUGAGAGUCUAAAAAUAAACCUUCAUAUGUAUAGUCAAUUGAUUUUCAACACAGGCACCAAACAAAUUCAAUGGGGCAAGGAGUCUUCAGCAAAUAUUACUGGGAUAGCUAGAUAUCCACAUGUAAAAGAAUAAAGUUGAAUCCUAUCCUCAUACCAUAUACAAAAAUUAACUCAAAAUGGAUAGAAGACCUAAAUGUAAGUGCUAAAACAUAAAAGUCCUAGGAGAAAACAUAGGAGUAAAUAUGUAUGACCACGGGUUAAAAAAGCUUUUUUUUUUUUUUUUUUUUUUUUUUGAGACAGAGCCUUGCUUUGUCGCCAUGCUGGGGUGCAGUGGCGCAAUCUUGGCUCACUGCAACCUCCACCUCCCGGGUUCAAGAGAUUCUCCUGCCUCAGCCUCCCGAGUAGCUGGGACUACAGGCACACGCCACCAUGCCCAGCUAAUUUUUGUAUUUUUAGUAGAGAUGGGGUUUCACCAUGUUGGCCAGGAUGGUCUUGAUCUGUUGACCUCGUGAUUCACCUCAGGUGAUCCACCUGCAUCAGCCUCCCAAAGUGCUGGGAUUAUAGGCAUGAGCCACUGUGCCAGGCCAAAAAAGGCUUUUUAAGGUAUGACAUCAAAAGCAUUAGUGACAAAAGAAAAAAAACAGAUAAAUUGAACUUCAUCAAAAUUAAGAUACUUUGUGCUUCAAAAGAUGCCAUUAAAAAAAAAAAAGACCACCUACAGAAUGGGAGAAUAUGUUUGCAAAUUAUAUAUCUGAUAAAUGACUUCUAUCUAGAAUAUAUAAAGAAUGCUUACAACUUCAUACUAAGAAAGCAAAUACCCAAUUAAAAAAUAGGUGACGGAUCUGAUUAGCUACUUCUCCAAACAAGAUGCCCAAAUGGCUAAUAAGCACAUGAAAAAAUGCUCACCAUUCUUAGUCAUCAAAGAAUGCAAAUCAAAAUAUGAGAUAGUAUUAUACUUCACACGCACUGGGAUGGCUGUAAUCGAAAAGACAGAUGAUAACAAGUAUUGGAGAGGAGGUGAAGAAUUUAGAAACAGUCUGGUGGUUUUCCAAAAGAUAAACAUAGAGUCAUCAUAUAACCUAACAAUUCCAAUCCUAGAUAUAUAUCCAAGAGCAAUGAGAACAUACGUUCACACAAAAGUUUGUACAUUUUAAGCAGCAUUAUUCAUAAUAGCCAAAAAGUAGAAACAACCCAAAUAUUCAGCAGGUGAUGAACUGAGAAACUGUGGUAUGGCCAUAAAAUGAAAUAUUAUUUGGCCAUAAAAAGGAAUGAGGUUCUGAUACAUGCCUCAACUUGGAUGAACCUUGAAAACGUUAUGCUAAGUGAAAGGAGGUCCUUCCUUGAGCCCCCAUCUGAAUGAGGAGUCCUUGUACUUUUCAUCCUUUGAAUUUAUCAUGCAAUAUUAUGUAUUGUUUCAUGAAAUGUUUUACAUAUAUAUGUAUAUAUAAUGUAUAUGUGUAUAUAUAAUGUAUAUGUGUAUAUAUAUAAAUUUGUAGAAUUUCUCCUUUCCAUUUGAUUCCUAAAACAAUAACCUGUAACACCUGUGCUGUACUUACUAUCUACCAGGCACUGUUAUAUAUGCUUUAUAUAUUUUGAUUCAUUUAACCUUCUCAACAACUCUUAUGUAGCUGAGGUACAAAAUGGCUAAGUUAUCUAAGAUUACACAGCUAGUAAGUAGAAAAGCUAAGAUUUGGCUCCUGGCAGUCUUUUUCCUGAGGCUGAGCCGUGGUCCUGUGUAUACUAUAAGGGUGGUUCUGUAUCUGUUCUUUUUAUCCCUGUGUAGCCUGUAUUUAGCAUAGCAUCUGGCAUGAUGUAGGUACCCAAUAAAUAUUUGUUGAAUGAAUGUAAGUCUGAAUGAUUCCUUUAAACUCGGUUAGGAGACCUCCUAGGUAUCACAGAUUAUGAUGUACUUCCCUAAAAAUAGCACUUAUCUCACUGUGUUGUACUUGCCUGUUUAUCCAUAGAAGAUGAGCUCCCUCAGGUCCUGAGUUAUGUCUUGUUAACCAGCAUCUAGUACAGUGCCUGGCACCUAGCAGGUAGUUAAUAAGUAUCUGUAAAUGGAUGAAAUAAGAGAGUGGAUUGUGAAUGAAAUUACAAGUAUCAGUGACAAUCCGUGAGGCCAGUAUUUGAAAAUGAUUACCCCUGCCAUCCAGUUAAAGAUAGAGGCUUGAACACAUGCAUUUACCUCUACCCUUUGUUGGAAUCCCACUAAAAAUAAUGGUAAAGGAGUUUAUAAGAAAGCAUAAACUCCUUUACCAUUGAAGAAAAGAAAACAGAAGAGAAGAAUGUAGCAGAAUUUUGGAAGCUGCAAAGUAAGUAAACAAGUGGUAACUGAUUUAGGAGAGAAGAGGGUUUCUGGACUGAAGGGGCAGCAAGCAUGAGUGGGGGUAGCAAAACAGAGGACUAAAUGAAAAUUUAAGUUGAAUGUUGAGAGACACUUCACCAUCUCAGCUCUGAGAAUGGAAACAGACAAUCUUAUACCUCCAGCCAGAAAACUGAAAGAGUUUUCUUGGGGAUUAGAACCCAACUCAAUGGAAAUACCUAAAGAUACUGAUACUUGGGAUUGCCCAAUAAGACAGCACAGCCAGGUAAUCCUGCAACAAAUCCCAUGUUUGAAAAGUGGCACCUGCAUGUAUCAGUCUUCCAAUCAGAUGUCUAGUGCCCUGUUCUUAAAUGUGAGCACACAGCCAAGGAUAACCAAACAUUUGAGGAAAACCUCUUAUAUGAAACACAGAGUCCCCA
rnacentral:lncRNA from 1 species